GUAACGCGUAUACAAUCUACCUUAUACUGGAGAAUAGCCCUAAGAAAUUGGGAUUAAUACUCCAUAGUAUUUAGAAACCACCUGGUUUUUAAAUUAAAGUUUCGGCGGUAUAAGAUGAGUAUGCGUCCCAUUAGUUAGUUGGUAAGGUAACGGCUUACCAAGACAGCGAUGGGUAGGGGCCCUGAGAGGGGGAUCCCCCACACUGGUACUGAGACACGGACCAGACUCC
rnacentral:rRNA from 1 species